CCCAGACUCCUACGGGAGGCAGCAGUGGGGAAUAUUGCACAAUGGGGGAAACCCUGAUGCAGCAACGCCGCGUGAGUGAAGAAGUAUUUCGGUAUGUAAAGCUCUAUCAGCAGGGAAGAAGAUGACGGUACCUGACUAAGAAGCCCCGGCUAACUACGUGCCAGCAGCCGCGGUAAUACGUAGGGGGCAAGCGUUAUCCGGAUUUACUGGGUGUAAAGGGAGCGUAGACGGCAAUACAAGUCGGAAGUGAAAUACCCGGGCUCAACCUGGGAACUGCUUUGGAAACUGUAUGGCUGGAGUGCUGGAGAGGUAAGCGGAAUUCCUAGUGUAGCGGUGAAAUGCGUAGAUAUUAGGAGGAACACCAGGGGCGAAGGCGGUCUGCUGGACAGCAACUGACGGUGAGGCGCGAAAGCGUGGGGAGCAACCAGGAUUAGAUACCCUCGUAG
rnacentral:rRNA from 1 species